GCGUCGACGGGUAGCCGGCCUGAGAGGGUGACCGGCCACACUGGGACUGAGACACGGCCCAGACUCCUACGGGAGGCAGCAGUGGGGAAUAUUGCACAAUGGGCGAAAGCCUGAUGCAGCAACGCCGCGUGAGGGAUGACGGCCUUCGGGUUGUAAACCUCUUUUAGUAGGGAAGAAGGGCUUCGGCUUGACGGUACCUGCAGAAAAAGCACCGGCUAACUACGUGCCAGCAGCCGCGGUAAUACGUAGGGUGCGAGCGUUGUCCGGAAUUAUUGGGCGUAAAGAGCUCGUAGGCGGUUUGUCACGUCUGCUGUGAAAUCCCGAGGCUCAACCUCGGGCCUGCAGUGGGUACGGGCAGACUGGAGUGCGGUAGGGGAGAUUGGAAUUCCUGGUGUAGCGGUGGAAUGCGCAGAUAUCAGGAGGAACACCGAUGGCGAAGGCAGAUCUCUGGGCCGUAACUGACGCUGAGGAGCGAAAGCGUGGGGAGCGAACAGGAUUAGAUACCCUGGUAGUCCACGCCGUAAACGUUGGGCGCUAGAUGUGGGGACCAUUCCACGGUUUCCGUGUCGUAGCUAACGCAUUAAGCGCCCCGCCUGGGGAGUACGGCCGGCCAGGCUAAACUCAAAGGAAUUGACGGGGGGCCGCACAAGCGGCGGAGCAUGCGGAUUAAUUCGAUGCACGCGAAGAACCUUACCAAGGCUUGACAUAUACGAGAACGCCGCAAAAUGUGGAACUCUUUGGACACUCGUAUACAGGUGGUGCAUGGUUGUCGUCAGCUCGUGUCGUGAGAUGUUGGGUUAAGUCC
rnacentral:rRNA from 2 species